rnacentral:rRNA from 1 species
UACGGAGGGUGCAAGCGUUAUCCGGAUUCACUGGGCUUAAAGGGUGCGUAGGUGGGUAUGUAAGUCAGUGGUGAAAUCCCCGAGCUUAACUUGGGAACUGCCGUUGAUACUAUAUAUCUUGAAUAUCGCGUAGGUAAGCGGAAUAUGUCAUGUAGCGGUGAAAUGCUUAGAUAUGACAUAGAACACCAAUUGCGAAGGCAGCUUACUUCACGAUCAUUGACACUGAGGCACGAAAGCGUGGGGAGCAAACAGG